rnacentral:tRNA from 1 species
GGAGGGGUGGCCGAGGGGUAAGGCUCCGGGGUGCUAACCCGUGGACGGGUCUCACGACCUGCGCGCGUUCGAUCCGCGCUCCCUCCG